rnacentral:tRNA from 1 species
GGUCAUAGCUCAGCUGGGAGAGCACCUGCCUUGCAAGCAGGGGGUCGUCGGUUCGAUCCCGACUGGCUCCAUAACU